rnacentral:rRNA from 1 species
UACGAAGGGUGCAAACGUUGCUCGGAAUUAUUGGGCGUAAAGCGCACGUAGGCGGUCCAGCAAGUCGGGAGUGAAAUCCCUCGGCUCAACCGAGGAAGUGCUUUCGAAACUACUGGACUUGAGUACUGGAGAGGGUCGCGGAAUUCCCGGUGUAGAGGUGAAAUUCGUAGAUAUCGUGAGGAAGACCAGUGGCGAAGGCGGGUCUCUGGACAGUUCCUGACACUGAGGCACGAAGGCCAGGGGAGCAAACGGG